rnacentral:rRNA from 1 species
ACGCUGGCGGCAGGCCUAACACAUGCAAGUCGAGCGGCAGCACGGGUACUUGUACCUGGUGGCGAGCGGCGGACGGGUGAGUGAUGCCUAGGAAUCUGCCUGGUAGUGGGGGAUAACGCUCGGAAACGGACGCUAAUACCGCAUACGUCCUACGGGAGAAAGCAGGGGACCUUCGGGCCUUGCGCUAUCAGAUGAGCCUAGGUCGGAUUAGCUAGUUGGUGGGGUAAUGGCUCACCAAGGCGACGAUCCGUAACUGGUCUGAGAGGAUGAUCAGUCACACUGGAACUGAGACACGGUCCAGACUCCUACGGGAGGCAGCAGUGGGGAAUAUUGGACAAUGGGCGAAAGCCUGAUCCAGCCAUGCCGCGUGUGUGAAGAAGGUCUUCGGAUUGUAAAGCACUUUAAGUUGGGAGGAAGGGCAGUUACCUAAUACGUAUCUGUUUUGACGUUACCAACAGAAUAAGCACCGGCUAACUCUGUGCCAGCAGCCGCGGUAAUACAGAGGGUGCAAGCGUUAAUCGGAAUUACUGGGCGUAAAGCGCGCGUAGGUGGUUUGUUAAGUUGAAUGUGAAAUCCCCGGGCUCAACCUGGGAACUGCAUGCAAAACUGGCAAGCUAGAGUAUGGUAGAGGGUGGUGGAAUUUCCUGUGUAGCGGUGAAAUGCGUAGAUAUAGGAAGGAACACCAGUGGCGAAGGCGACCACCUGGACUGAUACUGACACUGAGGUGCGAAAGCGUGGGGAGCAAAC